UACGUAGGGUGCAAGCGUUAAUCGGAAUUACUGGGCGUAAAGCGUGCGUAGGCGGUUUAGUGUGUGGGAAUUGAAAGCCCGGGGCUCAACUCCGGAUCCGGUUCCCAAACUGCUAGACUCGAGAGUAUCAGAGGAGAGCGGAAUUCCCGGUGUAGCGGUAAUAUGCGUAGAUAUCGGGAGGAACACCAGUGGCGAAGGCGGCAUCCUGGACCGGUACUGACGCUGAGACGCGAAAGCGUGGGGAGCGAACGAGGAUUAGAUACCCGUCG
rnacentral:rRNA from 1 species